AGCUCGAGUUUCUCUUCAUUAUCGCACAAAUCUUUCGCCUUUUACUAAAGAUUUCCGUGGAGGGGAACUUUUUGCGAGUGACUUGUAUUUUUGUACAGCAGAGCUA
rnacentral:snRNA from 1 species